GAGUUGACAACUACAACCAGUUUCUUCCAAUCCAAGGACUCCAUAUUCGGGGAAAGGAAGACAGCACCAACAGCCAGAGCAAUGACAGCAAAAGCCAAACCUUUUGCGCAACAAUGGCCAUGGGAUAACUUUCCCAAUAUCAACUUGCAGNNNUUUGUCAGCAUCCCUAUAGAAUGCAAGGUGAGCAGCAUAUUCUGUCUUUGCCAGUGCUUUCUCAUUCUUCUGCCUGAAAUUCUUUAUAGUUUCCCUCAGUGGGUCAAGAGGAGCCAGUUUCACAGAGAC
rnacentral:misc_RNA from 1 species